AUUGAACGCUGGCGGCAGGCCUAACACAUGCAAGUCGAACGAGUGGCGGACGGGUGAGUAAUGUCUGGGACACUGCCUGAUGGAGGGGGAUAACUACUGGAAACGGUAGCUACUACCGCAUACCAUCAGAUGUGCCCAGAUGGGAUUAGCUUGUUGGGGGGGUAACGUCUCACCAAGGCGACGAUCCCUAGAGGGUCUUAGAGGAUGACCAGCCACACGGGAACUGAGACACGGUCACGACUCCUAGGGGAGGCAGCAGUGGGGAAUAUGGCACAAUGGGCGCAAGCCUGAUGCAGCCAGGCCGCUUGUAUGAAGAAGGCCUUCGGGUUGUAAAGUACUUUCAGCGGGGAGGCGUUACCCGCAGAAGAAGCACCGGCUAACUCCGUGCCAGCAGCCGCGGUAAUAC
rnacentral:rRNA from 1 species